ACGUUUUGAAAACAUAUUUUGAAACCGCGGUGCGAGGCACGAACGCCUGAUUUUAACGCUAAAAUUCCUCGCUUUAAUGAGCUAUUUUAAGAGUCGUUAGAUGACCACGUCACUCAAUCUGGGCUAAAUCUGUAACAAGCCGUGUAUAGAAACAGCAGUGGUGAUAUUUUAGGCAGUGUAACAGCAUCGUUAUUUCAAAUUGUUCGUGCUCUGAAAGUACUGCUUCCUGCCUUCGUAUCGGCUCUGUGCAGGACAGCGUCUUGAUGUCUCCCCGGCCGCGUCACUCCCCGGUCUGCGGUUCCCGAGGGUCUUUCCUCCUUCGGCGGUGAGGAAAACGAGCAUGCAGCAUGUAGGCCUACAUUUAUGUACAGGCACACACAACAAGUACAGCAGCAUGUCGGGGGUUCUCAAUCAACUUUCCGAACAUGUGCUCGCUUGUUUAUGAGCAUGCAAGAAUGAGAGCAAAGUGAUGAACCUACAAGACAAGAUGAGAAACUUCUUGGACCUCACGACUCUCUGCUAUUGCCAUACUUUUGAGGACACAGGAGGAAAUUCUCUGGUUCAAGGAAGGCAUGGUGCUGGCUGAGCUGGGACUCGAUCAUCGUGUGGAGAAAGAGAUGUCUUGCGUUUCUCAUUACAGAUCCACAGAUUCUGUAGUGGAGAAGUCCAAAGAGAGCACUCACUCCUAGGCAUGCCUGCAUCAUUCAGAGUCCUGAAUCUAUACAAUACAUGUACAAGAGCUCUCUGAUCUCUAAUGCACUGUCCUCAUGGAUACUCCAGCAAACCCUUGUUAUGCACAUAUCUUUGUUUUAUCUGAACAUCAUGAUUUUGAAGAGCAGUGCAUCCCCCGUCACUCCUUGCAUCGCUUCAAGAAUGAGAAUCACAAAUAUUCAAGGGAUGCAGAGAACAUUGGCAAUGGCAGCAGGGCAGAGCAUCAAGCGUCACUCCUCACAUCUUUUCCAGAAUGAGGGUCACAAGUAUUCAAGGUCUGCAGCGAACAUCAGCAAUGGAAGCAGGGCAGAGCAUCCAUCGUCACUCAAGCAUUGUUUCCAGAAUGAAGAUCACAAGAGGUUUGGCUGUCUUGAUUUUGUCAAGGCCAUGACUGAUGGUUGCCAAGUUGGUUCGAUGAGUCUGUGACUGCAUUUAAAAACCUUUUGUAGAAACCUUUGCUUUGUUUUGUAUGGUGUGACUGCUCGAUUUGUUUAGAUUUGGUGGUAUGAUUUCAUGUUUUCUGAUCUUUCUAGGUACAAAUGGUAUGUUUUAAUACAUCGUAGGAGCACUUGUCAUAAAAUCAAGAAGAGCAAAAAUAUUCUUGUGAGAUAUUGGAUACACCCAGGAGUGCUAACAGUAUUGCCCCCAUUCCUCACUCCUUCCAAAAUUACCCCCAACCUCCCUAAAAAAGAGAAAAGAAAAAUGGGGGAAAAUAUGAUAAUGAUAUUAAUGAAAUUUAACUGUAAUUUCUACAAAAAUGUAGUUAUAUCAAAAAGAUGAAUAGUUUCACCAUCUGUGGAUUAUACCUACCUGUUACAAGUCCUGAAAAGGUUUAAUUUAUUGUGAUUCUGGUUUGUGUGUUGAACGUCUUGGUAUGAUUCCAGUUUGUUUGUGUAUGACCAUGUGAUAUGAUCUGAUUACGUGUGUGUGUAUGUGUGUUGUGUUUUUACAGACGUGUGUCAAUCAGAUAUGAUUAUUUACGUCUGGGAACCGACCUUUAAACGUCACCAUCCGAAAGACAUAAUAAUUACUAAAUAAUUACCAGCUAGCCUUACUCAAAGCCUAAACCUAUUAAAAUAGAUCUAAAUGGACAAGCAAAUUUCUGCUGUUUUUUUAAACCUAGUUGCAAAAAAAAUAGAUGUUCUGCAGACAUAUUAGGAUGUUUCCUAAACAUACAAUUUGAUAUUGCAAAAUAUUUAGCUCUUGAUAUAUUCCAAUGAUAGGUCUUUGGUAAGUGAGCACUCUAGAUUAUGCUGCUUGCAUUUUAGAAAGAAAAGAAAGGUCUCUAAUAGAGUCUAGAUACUAUUUCUAAUGUAGGUCUAAAAGUACAAAAUUACAGAAUUCUGAUCAACCCGCUCAUAUAACAUGGUGGUGGGGGGGGGGGGUGGGAGAUGAUAACAUCACAGGAUUAGCGAUAAGUAAACAGUCGAUCACAGGCCCUGGCCGGUGUCUGUUAUCUGCCAUACCCUUGAGAUCCCGGACGUGACUGGCGCAAAUGUCAAACGUAUCGUACCGGCCAGGGCCGUACUAGUACUAGUUUCUGGAUCUUCUUUUUUGCUUUAGAGUUCUGAAAAAGAAAAAGAGAUAGGUUCUUUAUAGAUUAAUGUGAAGGAAAAUAGCACAGCAUUCAGGUUCUCCUUAAUGAGGGUCCCCUGACAUUGAAAUAUAAAUCAUCAUCCUUAAUUUUUUCAAGGUGGUUAUUCUUUAAUACGGAUGUUAUGCAUUUUCUUCAUAAGAAUUUGAUGUUUGACAGUGUUGAAUGCUUUUCUUAGGUCGAUAAAUACAGUACCUGUGUAUUAGGAAUCGUCCAUGACCUGAGGCCAAUCAUCUGUGACCUUUAUAAGGGUAGAUGUUGUUGAAUGCUUAGGUCUGAAUCCAGACUGCUCUCUAUAUAAAUAUCAUUUUUAUGCAAACUACUCUAUAAACUGGUGUUGCACAACUCAUUCUAACAUCUUUGACACACAGGGAAAUAUCAGAGUUUGCCUGUAAUUACCAAAGAAAGAACAUUCAUUGGCCAAACAGGGCCAAUAAUGAAUUUGGUAUAUUUCACAAUAAUCAUGUCACCUUUAAGUUGAGGUAUCAUAUCGUGUUCAUCUGUAUCCAAGUCAGAUCCAAUUGCAGUAACUGAACCAAAAGAAAGAUAGGAAAAGUGAUAACGUAAACCAAAAAAAAAAUCGUAUUAUAGAUGGUGUCUUAUUCUGAAGGGGUCGUUUUGAACCACUUGUCUCCCAUCACGACUUACAUCUCCGCCUGUCAAAUUUCGCAUCACCACGUCUCCUUUCUGGAGCAUCUUUGUUAAUAUGGAGAGACAGUGUUCUCUUUGUCUCCAUUGGCGUUGUGUCAGUUUCCUGCAGUACAGCCAUGGCAUCUUUGCCAUAGCCAUCCCACCUGUUUUUGACCACUUUGGACCACUUCACUCCCAUCACGGCUUACGUCUCUGCCUAUCAAACUUAGCAUCACCAUUUCUCUGAAUUGCUGAAUUCCAAUCAACCUGCUCAUAUAACAUUGUGGGGGGGGGGGGGGAGGGAGGAGAUGACAAAUCACCAUUCCUAAUUAUUUCAAGGUCGUUAUUACGUGGUUAUGUCGGUAAAUCACCCUCAGCCACCUUGCAUUUCUUUGCUGCACCAAGUUAUUUUAUUUUCUACCAACUAGAUAUGCUCAAUUUUUAUCAAACUAACCUUUAUGCUCCUUGUGUUGCGGUUAAAGCCAGAGUUCUCCAGAUUGUUUCAAGUAGUUUUAAGGAGAUGAGGCACAUCACUGAAGAGGUAGAUAGGUUUCCCAGUGAAUGGAUUGGUGAAGGUAUGUCGCUCAGGACUGGAUGUAGUCAGCAGCUUGAAUAAGCCCCUGUUUGAUGCCGCUCCAUCACAGACGAGUCCUCAAACAGAAAACCCACAGGUUUCCAGAUGUUCGGUUCCCUCCAUAAUUACGUGGUACUACUGGUCUGUUGUGGCUCCUCCAGUUGCAAAAUACGCCACUGCUCUGCAAAACGACGUACAGAUUCCCCUUGCCAUCAAAACAAGUGUAUGUGAUGCCAUCUGCGGGUCUUCGCCUUCACAUUUCCUGGCAAAUGCUGCCAUCGCAUCGUUUACUGAGCUCAGACUGGUAAAGCCAAUAAUGUGUCCCGUUUGGUGUGAAUAAACUAGUCCUUGAAAUAACUUCAUUUCGUUGAAUGCUAGCAUAAUGUUACGUUCAAUCUCUCCAAGUCCUUUCAAUUUGAUAUCUUGGCAAACGCGUGCCAAGAACUCUUUGUUAAACCCUGUCUCACUCGCAGUAAAAAUCCAGAUGUUCUUAAUAAUUCGUAGGCUGCAGGCGUCUUGGCAGAAAGAGCUUUAUACAACCUGAUUAUGGCCAGAUGCCACCUCCUUUCUUCGCGAGUACACGAACCAUCGCUUCCUGGUCAGGUCAAUGUAUAUGGUACAGCAUCUAGAACUAAAGAAAAAUAUUAAAAUAUUUUUGUUCAUGAACAUGUUCCAAAGUAUUAACAUCAAUGCCCCAUCUGUUCAAAUAGUUGUUUGUCCACCAUUUCUUUCGAAAUACAUUCAUGGAAGAAGCGUCUGCUUCUCUCGACUAGCUCAUUCCAUCUGUCCUCGUCGAAAUUUACUUUGAUGGUCACAUGGCCCUGGUGGGUAUACACAAAGAAUUGGCACCAUCUUGUGCCUCUCACGUCCAUCUGGUGAUUUACCUUGCUAUAGUAUGGGUGAGAUUUUUUCAGUUCCAAGUCACCAGUUCCGUCUCUAGAAGGCAGGAAUUCUGGUUGUCCUUGGACGGUUCUGAGUCGGCGAUGCUGUGUGGGCACUUGAUUUCCAGAACCCCGGUGUCGCAACAAGAGUAUUUGAUAAUGCCAUCUGGGCUUGCUCCAAGAAAAAAUUUGUCACCUACCACAAAGAGUCCACAAUCCUUAACUUCAAAGUGUUGAUGAAGACAAAAACAUGAUGCUAUAAAAUACAAUGUUUCAAAGGUUAAACGUUCAACACUUCUGCAGCAUGGUUUGCUUCACCACGCUUCACUUUCACGCUCUGUGGCAGCACAGUGAAAUCGACAUCUGUCUCGGUUUCCUCUCCCUCACAAAUCCUGUGCCAUUUCGACCGGUGGCAAGUCUUGGAGUGGCUCGGGAUCAGUCGAUGGCAAGGCUUGGAGUGGCCUGGGUUCGACCGGUGGCAAGGCUCGGGAGUGGCUCGGGAUCAGCCGGUGGCAAGUCUUGGAGUGGCUCGAACAUUUGAUUUUAAGACCACUGGUGUCCCAACAAGAGCAUUUGAUGAUGCCAUCUGGGCUUGCCCCAAGAAAAACUUUGUCACCUACCACAAAGAGUCCACAAUCCUUAACCGCAAAGUGUUGAUGACCUAUUUUGUGUUCCCGCACGUAGGCACUCCUUGCUUCCUCCUCCAUCUCACGAUCGUACUUCAAGGCUUGCAAUGAAGAGUCUACAUCUUCGUACCCCAAGAUCCUCGUCAAAAGUGAGGCAGUGUUCACUUCUCCCCCCUUUUUUUCUUUUGACCGCUGCUUUGUCAUAACAGCAUGGGCCACUGACCCAGUCACCCUCCCCCUGCAAUGCUUCAUCCACUCCUCAUUAUUGGCUUGACCACGAGUUGCCUCCUCCAGGUGACGUGCUUCUUCACCGGAGCAUCUUGGCAGGGUGGCAAUAACUCUUGUAGAGAGCCAGCAUUACUAGCCAAUCAAGGCAGGGGCAGAGGGGCACUCUUUGCUACCGCGCCCUCUUCGUGGUCAACAUUCACAUCUGUGUAAAUAUCAGCAUGACUCUGUUGAACUGUUGUGGAUGACUGCAUGUUGAAGCACUGGAACAUAGCUUCAUCUUCAAAGUGCGGGAAGAGUGUUUGUGUAAGUGUAGUCACUGAUGUUGGGUUACUGGUUGACCUGGCACCAAGUAGAGAAAGUAACUGUUGGGUUGAUGCCUGCUUUUCAAUCAAGUAGAGAAAGAAUUAGUUGCAUAAAUUGGCCCAUACUGAGACCCCAAUUCGUACAUCCGGAUUCUUUUCCUUGCUCAAUGAACGACUACUUGUCCCAAAGUCAAGCUUCCAAUAUAUUCAAAUAUAUAUUUAUAUACCUGUGUUUUUUCUUUCUAAUAUACAUCUACACGAGCAGAAGUAAAUAAUUCCUUACCUUCACACCAUAUCAGCAUACGAGUAGGCCAACAUUUUGGGGCACCAAUAGAGAUGUAUGUGGGACAG